rnacentral:lncRNA from 1 species
AACCGUAAUAAAUAGUAACCUAACGGUCCAGUCAUCGUUCUGUGGUCCUUUCUUUUAUGAUUCACAAGGAAUGACCCUCUUCAUCGCCUCUCCUAAUUCAGUCCUCACAACAGUCCUUUUACAAAUGGGACAACAGGUUAGAGGAAGUCAGGCAGAUUUCCAGCAUCAUAGAGAGUAAAGGACCAGGGAAGGAUCAGGAUUCAAGGACUGCACCCAGGCUCUGCUUCCAGCUUGCUGUGUGACUUUGGACCCUGCUGUGUUGAGAUGAGCACCAGAGCCAAGAAGCUGAGGAGGAUCUGGAGAAUUCUGGAGGAAGAGGAGAGUGUUGCUGGAGCUGUACAGACCCUGCUUCUCAGGUCCCAGGAAGGUGGCGUCAGCAUCUGCAGCCGCGUCGACGUUGUCGGAGCCUCCGCGGAGGACCCAGGAGAGCCGGACUAGGACCAGGGCCCUGGGCCUCCCCACACUCCCCAUGGAGAAGCUGGCGGCCUCUACAGAGCCCCAAGGGCCUCGGCCGGUCCUGGGCCGUGAGAGUGUCCAGGUGCCCGAUGACCAAGACUUUCGCAGCUUCCGGUCAGAGUGUGAGGCUGAGGUGGGCUGGAACCUGACCUAUAGCAGGGCUGGGGUGUCUGUCUGGGUGCAGGCUGUGGAGAUGGAUCGGACGCUGCACAAGAUCAAGGUAGGGUUGCCCGCUAUACCUGCAGCCUCCACUGCACCCUUACUGCCUCUCUCCCGGAGUCUCCUGGUCCUCUCUCCGGGCUAGACACCUGGCUGUAUAUCUGGGCCCAGAGAGAGUCUCCUUCCAGGGACCGGGAGGAGACACAGUCUGCUGGGCCAAGCCCCAUCACACAGAUGGGCCAACCGAGGCCUGGAGAGCAGGAGUGACUCACCCUGCCUCUCUCAGCUGGAACCCAGGCUUCUGCAUGCCCCUGCCUGUUCCAGGGAUCUGGGCUGCUGCCAGGCCCUUCUAGGAGAGUGGUCUCCCUCA